CUAUCUUCCAGUUCAUGAGGGAGGACAAGGACUAAUUGACAUUUUUUCUAGGAUUGCUGUUUUCCGUUUGCAAGUAGCCCAGCGUCUUUUGUACUAUCAGCAUCAGCAGUGGAUGGAUGUUGCAUGUGCUCUGUUGCGGAAAAAUAGAAGAAUGGGUUUGGAUAAGCAAUUAUUUGUCAUGUCCCUUGAAGGAAUAGAUUCAGAAGGAUUGACAAUAUUCUAUCAGGGUGUGUUGCAAGCUUGGCAGACGUUAUCCUUUUCAAGAGAAUGGGAUGAAUCCAAUCACUGGGUAUAUGAAGAGCCUCUGUUUUUUAAUCCACUUAUCUCUGUCGAGUUGCUGUGUUCUGCCACUGUUAGGUCGGCAAUGUUGAAGGCAGGAGUCUCCAAAAUAUGCCAUCUUCGAAGGGGACUGAACUGGAUACCUGCAGAGGUUUUGACACGUAUGCUGGGAUUCAGGUCUGAACGCAUAAUUGAGAAGUUGUUACAUGAUCUUGAGGAGGUCUUCCCUGCUCCAAUAAGGGAUUUUAUGAAAGUUUCUCAUGUGGAGAAUUGUAAUGAUGGAGGGAAAGCUUGGUUUCCUGAAUUGCAUGUAUCCAUAAAAAAAGAAGACUGGCAAGAAGAUGACAGAAAAUUACUGUCCUUGGACACACCAGAACUGAAUCACUUUAGUAUUUUGAACAGACAAACACUUUACAGAGCAUGUGUGAAAACCAUUAAUUAUCAACAUCUCAAAACUGUAAGAGAUAUUAAAUGGACAACCGUGUUUGAAUCAGGCUCUUCCCCGAAAGGUAGUUGGCGGUCCCUGUACAAAAGACCCAUUGAAAAGAGGGUGGGUGAUCUUCAGUGGAGAGUUGUACAUGGGAUUUUAGCUACAAACAGACACAAAGCACUCCUUAAUGGUUCAGAUGAUGAGGGUUGUCCUUUUUGUGGGGUGUCUGAAACUGUUUUCCAUAUUUUUAUUGAAUGUCCACGUUUGGAUCAAAUUUUGGGCUUAAUGGAAAGCUGGAGUGUACAGUUUACAGGAAAUUUUAAUCAAGAAUUGUUUAUUUUUGGUCCUAAAUAUUUAAAACAAAAAAAAUCUAAAGUUGUUUUAUUAAAUUUCUUAUAUGGUGCAGCAAAGUUGGCAAUCUGGUGUACAAGGAAAAAUAAAGUAGAAGGGAGGGAAAAUGUGGAUGCUAUUCUGAUGAUGAGAGGGUUUAUAAAGAAAAGAUUAAUUAUGGAAUAUGCUUUUUAUAGCCUCAUUAAUAAUGUCAAUUUUUUUUUUCAUGUGUGGGGUGUUGAUGGUUUUUUAUGUGAAGCUGAUGAUCAGGGAGAUUUAGUGUUUAAUUUUUG
ensembl:lncRNA